UGCAGAAUCCCGUGAAUCAUCGAAUCUUUGAACGCAAGUUGCGCCCGAGGCCUAGGCCGAGGGCACGUCUGCCUGGGUGUCGU
rnacentral:rRNA from 1 species